UACUCCUACGGGAGGCAGCAGUGGGGAAUAUUGGACAAUGGGCGAAAGCCUGAUCCAGCCAUGCCGCGUGUGUGAAGAAGGCCUUUUGGUUGUAAAGCACUUUAAGCGAGGAGGAGGCUACUUAGAUUAAUACUCUAGGAUAGUGGACGUUACUCGCAGAAUAAGCACCGGCUAACUCUGUGCCAGCAGCCGCGGUA
rnacentral:rRNA from 1 species